CAUUUUGGCGUUUUUCUGUUAUUUGGCUUGUUCUUAUACUAUCAUAGAAAAAAUUUAUUCCUUCAAAUUGAAAAGUAACUUGCAGACGUUAAUGUCAGUGGAAGAAAGCUUUUUUAAAAGUGUGCAAGAGCAAAUAGCUGUGCAUAUUUUUGAACCCAGUUGGAAGCUAAAUUGCGGGGCUUUCAUAUAAACGGAUUCAGCCGGAGGGCAACUGGUUUCCACAGAGAAUGAAACACAUCAAACUGAAAGGAGCCUAGAUUUUCAAGACAGGACACAUGAUUAUAUCAACAUCAUUGGAAACUAAGGCUGUUACAGUGAUGUAGGAAUAUCCAGAUUGAAUAACUUUUAGUUAUUGACACUAUCCUGAGAAUGGUCUCAUCUUAAAACCAGCAGGCAACAGGUUCUUAUGUUUGCCAAGUGAGCAACUGACCAGACUCAAAUCAUGGUCUGUAUAUUUCACUGUUAAAAGCCUCAUGCUGAUUGGUUGGAUGAGACAGGAAUGAGACAGUCUUAAUACUAGCAGUUGUUACAACAGUGCAGACACAGAACCAAUGAUGCUCUGCUGACUUGGCUGAGAGGGCAAAAUGAACUGACAGUAAUGACUGCUGUGGUGUUUUGAUGAUUACUGGUAAGAAAACAGACUGAAGCAGCGAGAAAGUCUACAUGUAUGUGCUGAGACAUUAGAUCCCAUAUAGAUCUUAUAUAAUUAUGAGAUUCAAAACAGAGAAGCAACAAUGAAAGUAUUUGCUGAGACUUAAAGAAAGAAUGAUGUUGAAGCAUUGGAUUCCAUAUUAAGAGAGUCACAAUUUCUUUGUGUUUGGUUUCAUGUACUAGGCCUGUGGCAGAUCCAGACCUUGAGUUAAGGGGGGGGGGGGAGCACUGCUUUCCCUGCCAACUUUUCUUCCUUCUGUGAUUGUUUUUACCCAAAAUAAGGGGGGCGGCCUGGGUCUCCUGGGCCGCCCCCCCUAGAUCCGCCACUGUAGGCAUGACAGUGUACAAUGCAGGUGGAAAAAGAGAUGUUACUGUUUCAUUGUUCAGCUACAUUGUAUUUCAAGAAACUGUUCUUUGUGGCAAUACUACAUUUUAGCCCUUCAUGGGUAGGGUGUACAAAAAUUCCCUUUUUGCAAUGCCUGCGGGGUUACUGUUGUGGAGGAGUAUUUUUUUGUGGUAAGAGGGACACAGUAAUCUACUGUUAAGCACUCUGGACUGCAGAUCAAGAAGUCUGGGUUUGGGCCAACUGUUAGCGUCUCUGUUUUCUGGCAAGACACUUUACUGACUCGCACUACCUCUAAGUGUACAAAUGGGUAGUGGGUAAUUACUUUACACUGGGUGCUAACCCUGCGACAGUCACUUUCAUCCCAUCCCAACCCAUCAUUGUCAAACCUUGCCCCUGUAGGGUUCAAACUCUUAUUAAUCUGAUGAUUUUUUUUUUUUUUAUUGUAAAGUUCUUUGAAACAGACAGACUCGCAUCCCAUUUGUGGUGGAGUGGGACUUCUCAAUAUCACUUAAUGCAACAGAGACUGCAGGGUUAAACUGUAGUGGUUUAGAUCACUUGGCCUGAUGCAGACUUUACCUUACCUUCAUAGUCCAAACUUUUCCCUCAAGUAGGGUUAAAUUAAAUCUGAUGACUUGCAUGUAUUUUUAAUUGUGUAGUUAAUGUAAACUUAAAGGAUCAAGGCUGUCAUAAAGGUUAAAACAGUUUCCAUUUCUUACUAGAUACAAAACAAUGCUGUGUGAAGAAAGAUUCAAAUUGAGGCAAUAGAUUCCAAUUAUCAGUUUCUUACUAGAUACGAAAUUGAGGCACAAGGAAAAGAGCUAUGUGCUGAGACUCAAGAAGAGAAAGAAUCAGGUUAAGACAUGGGAUUCCAUAGUAGAUACAAAACAGAGAAGAAAUUAUAAAAGCUGUGCUGAGACUCAAGAGGAAAAAGAAUCAAAAUGACACGUUAGAUCCCUUAUUAGGCUGUCAUCUCAAGUGUACAUACAGUGACAUUAACACGGAGAAAGGAAAGCAAAGAACAUCGCUUAGUUGUUGUUGUUGUUGUUUUUUCCAGUGGAUCAAGUUUUAAAAGUAAGGUAGAUUUACGAGACAGAGUUUAUCUCGAUUGAAUUUCUUGCGAAAGAUUGUUAGCGCGGAACUCGUAUCAGUGAUUUCACAACACAAAACUCGAGUCAAAAGACGACAUUGGAAUUACUGUCAAUUUGUCUAGUAUUGGCAUUACCUGGAUUUGUUUUUGCAACCCGAAUUUUCAGCCGAAAGUCUCGUUAUUAAACUCGCUGAAAUUACUGUCUAAUUUUGUAGUAUUUAUUUCACAAAUCUACUGAAAUCUUUCUAGUUUUCGAGGACGUGUAGAAUUUAUGAAAAGGUUGCGCUUUUAGAAGGGCCAUUAAAAAAUCGAAAAAUGGAAAUGUCCUUAGAAAAAAAAAGCCUGCAAUUUUAAAUGGUGUCUGGUUUUGAGUCAAACAUAAACAGAGUCUUUUGGCGGAAAGAAAUCUUGCUCUAUGUAGGAUUUUUCCCUCAAAAGUCACAGUAUAUGCUUGAUUUCUGGUUAGACUCUGUUCAAAAGCGCAGAAUUUUUUUUCUUCUUGGCAACCCUGCAUAGUCAAAAAAAUGUAAAAGAGAUAGCCUACAUUUUGACUAGUUCCCAGGCCCUUUUAAAAGCGCAAUUUUUUUUAUUUUGUUUUCUUAUUGUUUUUAAUUGAAUCAUCAAAAAGCCAAUAAAAGUUAUAUUGAAGACAAGUGUGUAAUUGACUUCUACUUGCUGUAAUAUUUUUUCAGCAAUGUUAGAAUAAUGUACACAAUAAAAACCACAACUUGUAAUGCCCUUUCCAUUUAAUUUUAUUGUUUUGCAUUAAUAAGUAAAGUACACAAUAAAAACCACCA